rnacentral:rRNA from 1 species
UACAGAGGGUGCAAGCGUUGUUCGGAAUUAUUGGGCGUAAAGGGCGCGUAGGCGGUGCGGUAAGUCUGUAGUGAAAUCUCUGGGCUCAACUCAGAGUCUGCUGCAGAAACUGCCGUGCUUGAGUGUGGGAGAGGUGAGUGGAAUUCCCGGUGUAGCGGUGAAAUGCGUAGAUAUCAGGAGGAACACCCAUGGCGAAGGCAGUAAACUGGUCGACAUCUGACGCUGAGGCGCGAAAGUGUGGGUAGCAAACAGG